rnacentral:rRNA from 1 species
AGAGUUUGAUCAUGGCUCAGAAUCAACGCUGGCGGCGUGCCUAACACAUGCAAGUCGAACGCGAAAGUGGAGCAAUCCAUGAGUAGAGUGGCAAACGGGUGAGUAACGCGUGGGUGACCUGCCUUCGAGCGGGGGGAUAACGUUUCGAAAGGAACGCUAAUACCGCAUGACAUCCUGCCUUUGAAGAGGCGGAGAUCAAAGCUGGGGAUCGCAAGACCUAGCACUUGAAGAGGGGCCCGCGUCUGAUUAGCUAGUUGGUGAGGUAACGGCUCACCAAGGCGACGAUCAGUAUCCGGCCUGAGAGGGCGGACGGACACACUGGGACUGAGACACGGCCCAGACUCCUACGGGAGGCAGCAGUGGGGAAUUGUUCGCAAUGGGCGCAAGCCUGACGACGCAACGCCGCGUGGAGGAUGAAGACCUUCGGGUCGUAAACUCCUUUCGAUCGAGACGAAAGACUUCCGGGUGAACAAUCCGGGAGAGUGACGGUACCGAGAGAAGAAGCCCCGGCUAACUCCGUGCCAGCAGCCGCGGUAAUACGGGGGGGGCAAGCGUUGUUCGGAAUUACUGGGCGUAAAGGGCUCGUAGGCGGCCAACUAAGUCGGACGUGAAAUCCCUCGGCUUAACCGGGGAACUGCGUCCGAUACUGGAUGGCUUGAGGUUGGGAGAGGGAUGCGGAAUUCCAGGUGUAGCGGUGAAAUGCGUAGAUAUCUGGAGGAACACCGGUGGCGAAGGCGGCAUCCUGGACCAAUUCUGACGCUGAGUGAGCGAAAGCCAGGGGAGCAAACGGGAUUAGAUACCCUAGUAGUCC